AGGAGAGAGCGCGCGAGCAGAGGGGCUGCUCCGGCGCGCCAUGGGGAACCGCGCCGCCGGGAGAGGCCGCAACCGCUGGGGAGGGGCUGCGCAGGGGGCGCGGACGCCGGAGAGGGGGGAAGAGGGCUGGCCGCAAGGGAGCCGGACGGGUGGAGGAGAGCGUGGCGGUCUUCGGCGGGCACGACCGCACGCCGGGCUUCCUGGCCUCCUCCCGCCGCAGGAAGAAGCCGCAGCACCGGGCAACGCGCGGAGCUUCCGCCGGGCUGUUGCCCGCGUCGGGGCCGGGGUGGGCACGCCCGCGCAAGGGACACGCGCACCCGCGCCGCGCGCCGUCGGAGCCGGGGGCUGCCGCGCCGAGGCUGGGCAGCCACGCCCGCAGCUCCCGAGCCUUCUCCUCCGUCAUCACCCCCACGAACGGCCUCCGCGACGCCUCGUCCUGCGCCGCCGCCGGGGCCGGG
rnacentral:misc_RNA from 1 species